ACUGAGGAAAAGAACCAACAGGGAUUGCCUUAGUAACGGCGAGUGAAGCGGCAACAGCUCAAAUUUGAAAUCUGGCCCUCGGGUCCGAAUUGUAAUUUGUAGAGGAUGAUUUUGGUGCGGUAUCUUCCGAGUUCCUUGGAACAGGACGCCUUAGAGGGUGAGAGCCCCGUACGGUUGAAUGCCUAGCCUCUGUAAAUCUCCUUCGACGAGUCGAGUAGUUUGGGAAUGCUGCUCUAAAUGGGAGGUAAAUUUCUUCUAAAGCUAAAUAUUGGCCAGAGACCGAUAGCGCACAAGUAGAGUGAUCGAAAGAUGAAAAGCACUUUGAAAAGAGGGUUAAAUAGCACGUGAAAUUGUUGAAAGGGAAGGAUUUGUGACCAGACUUUUUCUGGGCGGAUCAUCCGGGGUUCUCUCCGGUGCACUUUGCCCAGUAAAGGCCAGCAUCGAUUUUCGGCGGCGGAUAAAAGCAGUGGGAAUGUGGCUCCCUACGGGGAGUGUUAUAGCCCAUUGUAUAAUACGCUGCUGGGGAUCGAGGUACGCGCU
rnacentral:rRNA from 1 species